AUUGAACGCUGGCGGCAGGCCUAACACAUGCAAGUCGAGCGGAUGAAGGGAGCUUGCUCCUGGAUUCAGCGGCGGACGGGUGAGUAAUGCCUAGGAAUCUGCCUGGUAGUGGGGGAUAACGUCCGGAAACGGGCGCUAAUACCGCAUACGUCCUGAGGGAGAAAGUGGGGGAUCUUCGGACCUCACGCUAUCAGAUGAGCCUAGGUCGGAUUAGCUAGUUGGUGGGGUAAAGGCCUACCAAGGCGACGAUCCGUAACUGGUCUGAGAGGAUGAUCAGUCACACUGGAACUGAGACACGGUCCAGACUCCUACGGGAGGCAGCAGUGGGGAAUAUUGGACAAUGGGCGAAAGCCUGAUCCAGCCAUGCCGCGUGUGUGCAGAAGGUCUUCGGAUUGUAAAGCACUUUAAGUUGGGAGGAAGGGCAGUAAGUUAAUACCUUGCUGCUUUGACGUUACCAACAGAAUAAGCACCGGCUAACUUCGUG
rnacentral:rRNA from 1 species